GUGCCUAACACAUGCAAGUCGAGCGAAGCGGAUUUCGAGGUAAGUUUUCGGAUGGAAUUGGAAUUGACUGAGCGGCGGACGGGUGAGUAACGCGUGGGUAACCUGCCUCAUACAGGGGGAUAACAGUUAGAAAUGACUGCUAAUACCGCAUAAGCGCACAGGACCGCAUGGUCCAGUGUAGAAAAACUCCGGUGGUAUGAGAUGGACCCGCGUCUGAUUAGCUGGUUGGUGGGGUAACGGCCUACCAAGGCGACGAUCAGUAGCCGACCUGAGAGGGUGACCGGCCACAUUGGGACUGAGACACGGACCCAAACUCCUACGGGGAGGCAGCAGGUGGGGAAUUAUUGCACAAGUGGGGGAAACCCUGAUGCAGCGACGCCGCGUGAGUGAAGAAGUAUUUCGGUAUGUAAAGCUCUAUCAGCAGGGAAGAAAAUGACGGUACCUGACUAAGAAGCCCCGGCUAACUACGUGCC
rnacentral:rRNA from 1 species